rnacentral:rRNA from 1 species
AUGGGAACGCGAAGAACCUUACCUACUCUUGACAUCCAGAGAACUUAGCAGAGAUGCUUUGGUGCCUUCGGGAACUCUGAGACAGGUGCUGCAUGGCUGUCGUCAGCUCGUGUUGUGAAAUGUUGGGUUAAGUCCCGCAACGAGCGCAACCCUUAUCCUUUGUUGCCAGCGGUCCGGCCGGGAACUCAAAGGAGACUGCCAGUGAUAAACUGGAGGAAGGUGGGGAUGACGUCAAGUCAUCAUGGCCCUUACGAGUAGGGCUACACACGUGCUACAAUGGCGCAUACAAAGAGAAGCGACCUCGCGAGAGCAAGCGGACCUCAUAAAGUGCGUCGUAGUCCGGAUUGGAGUCUGCAACUCGACUCCAUGAAGUCGGAAUCGCUAGUAAUCGUAGAUCAGAAUGCUAC